GACGAACGCUGGCGGUGUGCUUAACACAUGCAAGUCGAACGGAAAGGCCCUGCUUUUGUGGGGUGCUCGAGUGGCGAACGGGUGAGUAACACGUGAGUAACCUGCCCUUGACUUUGGGAUAACUUCAGGAAACUGGGGCUAAUACCGGAUAGGAGCUCCGGCUGCAUGGUGGGGGUUGGAAAGUUUCGGCGGUUGGGGAUGGACUCGCGGCUUAUCAGCUGGUUGGUGGGGUAGUGGCUUACCAAGGCUUUGACGGGUAGCCGGCCUGAGAGGGUGACCGGCCACAUUGGGACUGAGAUACGGCCCAGACUCCUACGGGAGGCAGCAGUGGGGAAUAUUGCACAAUGGGCGGAAGCCUGAUGCAGCAACGCCGCGUGCGGGAUGACGGCCUUCGGGUUGUAAACCGCUUUCGCCUGUGACGAAGCGUGAGUGACGGUAAUGGGUAAAGAAGCACCGGCUAACUACGUG
rnacentral:rRNA from 1 species